CACUAGUCGAGUGCUCUUGCGCGGAUAAUGUACCGGGGCUAAGCAUAUUACCGAAACUGUGGAUGCGUAAGCAUGGUAGGAUAGCGUAAUUAACGCGAUGAAGGAUGACCGUAAGGACAUGUUGGAGCGUUAACUAGUGAGAAUUCCGGUAUGAGUAGCGAAAGAUAGGUGAGAAUCCUAUCCACCGAAUGAGUAAGGUUUCCCCCGGAAGGCUCGUCCGCGGGGGGUUAGUCGGGACCUAAGGCGAGGCUGAAAAGCGUAGUCGAUGGACAACAGGUUGAUAUUCCUGUACCGAUAUUUAAUUGCCGAAGGAAGGACGCAGAAGGAUAACACAGGCCACUAUUGGAUGUGGUUUUAAACAGUUAGUCUUCAUAAGAGUCAAAUGCUUUUAUGUUUAAGGAUAAGCUGUGAAUGUACCAAGUUUACUUGGAAAUUGUGUGAUUUCACGCUGCUGAAAAAAGUUUCGUAGGAAGAAAAUAUUGCCCGUACCGCAAACCGACACAGGUACUCGAGUGGAGAACACUAAGGUGAGCGAGUGAACUAUUGUUAAGGAACUCUGCAAAAUGAGUCCGUAACUUCGGAAGAAGGACUGCUGGUUUUAUACCAGCCGCAGCAAAUAGGCCCAAACAACUGUUUAUCAAAAACACAGGUUUCUGCAAAAUCGUAAGAUGAAGUAUAGGGGCUGACGCCUGCCCAGUGCUGGAAGGUUAAAAGGAGGACUUAGCUUCGGCGAAGGUCUUAAUUGAAGCCCCAGUGAACGGCGGCCGUAACUAUAACGGUCCUAAGGUAGCGAAAUUCCUUGUCGGGUAAGUUCCGACCCGCAUGAAAGGCGUAAUGAUUUGGGCGCUGUCUCAACAAUAGACUCGGUGAAAUUUAAAUUCCAGUGAAGAUGCUGGGUACCCGCGACAGGACGGAAAGACCCCGUGGAGCUUUACUGUAGCUUGAUAUUGAAUGUUUGUGCUGCAUGUGCAGGAUAGGUAGGAGACUUUGAAGUCGGAACGCUAGUUUCGAUUGAGUCACCCUUGAGAUACUACCUCUGUUGUAUGAACGUUCUAACUCUGAUCAGUUAUCCUGAUCGAAGACAGUGUCUGGCAGGCAGUUUGACUGGGGCGGUCGCCUCCUAAAAGAUAACGGAGGCGCUCAAAGGUUUGCUCAGAAUGGUUGGAAAUCAUUCGUAGCGUGUAAAGGCAUAAGCAAGCUUGACUGUGAGACUGACAAGUCGAGCAGGUACGAAAGUAGGACUUAGUGAUCCGGUGGUUCCGUAUGGAAGGGCCAUCGCUCAACGGACAAAAGCUACCCCGGGGAUAACAGGCUCAUCUCCCCCAAGAGUCCACAUCGACGGGGAGGUUUGGCACCUCGAUGUCGGCUCAUCGCAUCCUGGGGCUGUAGUCGGU
rnacentral:rRNA from 1 species